AAAUAAAAAAAAUUGAUUUUCAGUAAAUUUUAGCCUUUUAUUAAAAAGAAUAUAAUCAAUUCCUUAAGUAUAAGGAGAUUAAAAAUUAAUAAGAAUAACUUUUUCCGAAAGUUCUUGGGCAAGGGUGAAGAGUUAAAAUAUAGAAAUGAAAUACUUCAUCCUAGCAGAUAUAGUCUUUUCGAAAGAACAAAUAUCUGAUUUAAUUUCAUAUAGAAGAGGAAAUCCCUUCCAAAAGAGUUUUUAUAAAAUUCGAAAAAGAAAUUGCUAAAAGUCCUUAAGAUUCUUCAUAGAAAAUUUCCUAAAAAGAUACACUCUUUAUAUUAAAUGGUAAUAAAACAUAAUUUAAUUAUUAGUACAACAAGCCAAGACUAAUUAAUUUUUGGAAAUUAAACUAUAAAUGUCUAAUAUGAACUAGAAGAAAAGACUAUUGAAUGCUUAUCAAAGACUAUUCUAUUCAAUUAAAUAGAAGCCACCGCCAAUUGAUAUUUCUUUAAAAGGCCGAAGGAAUCUUACUUCGCGAAGGUAGCAUAAUAACUUGACUAUUUAUUGUGGUCCAGGAUGAGGGAGAGAACAAUAGUCCUCUCUAUAAUAGAUAGUAUUGAAACUUAACCUUCCCCUGAAAAUCGGGGAAAAGAUUUCUUAGACGAGAAGACCCCAGGAUCUAAUACCUUCAUAAAGGUUUAAUUGGGGAAAUUCUCAAUGAUAAGGAGAAAAAUAUUUCUAUUACUAUGAUAAUAUAACAAAGAUACCCUGGGGAUAACAGGGCAAUCCUCUAAAAGAGACCUUAUCCAUUAGGGGGAUUACUACCUCGAUGUUGGCUUACCUAUUCCUCUAGAUGAAGAAAGUUAGAGGACCAAGUCUGUUCGACUUCCAAUAGGUACAUGAGCUGAGUUCAAGUCGACAAAAGUCAGACUGGAUUCUAUCUAGAAACAAUAUUAGGAAUUCCAGUACGAAAGGACAAAAUUCCUUCUCUAAGAGAAAGGACCAAUCUUGGACUAAUAUUUAAUCAAAA
rnacentral:rRNA from 1 species